rnacentral:lncRNA from 11 species
CGCAUUUCCUCAUCAGACUACCGAUGGCUUGCUGAUUUCGGAGGAGCUUUUGUGGGCCGCCGUGCUUCUCCGCCGGACUGACUGCUGCGGGUUGCCAGGCGUGAGGUGGCUGCUGGCUCUGCCUGGCCUCUGCAGAGUGCACAAGGCCUGUUGGGGCCUGUUGGGACCACACUGGGCCUGUUGGGGCCUGCUGGGACCUGCCUGGCCCCUGCUAAAUUACGCUGAGUCAGGACCGGACCCACUUGAACAGUAUUAGGCCCCUCGCCAGACCGGGAGGUGGCUGUAGAACUGGGUUACCAUGCGGAGGCCAAAGGAGAACAGAGGCCUCAGAAGACGCGGAGGACUUCGAGUAGCCAUUUUUAUUCAUGGGCUCCCAAAGAUUCAUUGUGCCGAUUGCAUUUGGCACCACUACACUGGCAAUUUCCAUACUGACGGAAAACUUCACAAUGGACCAAGAAUGUGCCUUGCAUGAAACUCAGGAGAAAACCUCUACUCUGGCGCCUGUCUUGGAAAAAAAUACUAGAGAAUCAGUAGAACGAUCUCUCCCAGGACUGUUUGAAUAUUAAGGAC